AUCCCCGGGGCAGAAGGAGCUUCCUUGGAGCAAGGGCAGAGGACGCCGGCGGUGGAACGUGCCCAAGAUGCCCUCUCCUGUGGCAGUGAAGAGAUGCUGUUGAGCCAUCGUCUUUUCCAAGGAGUGGGAACAGCUGCUGCACCUCCAGUCCAGGGUCCCUUUUCCUUUGAGGAGGUGUCCGUCUCUUUCACGGAGGCAGAGUGGGCCCUGCUGGAUCCGGGACAAAGAGCUCUGUACUGGGAAGUCAUGCUGGAGAACUAUGAGAACGUGGCUU